UGCUGCAGCCCUCCUUGGGCGUUUCCUCCCUAGACUUUAUGGCCGCGUCCCUGACGCGGCCUUUUUUUUGGCUUUU
rnacentral:sRNA from 1 species